rnacentral:snRNA from 1 species
AGAUUUGGGGGUGAUUUGGUUGUGCCAUCUUCAUCCCGUUGAUCACCAGGGUUGAUUAGACUGAUAUGACUGGUUAGGUGGAUGUCCCUGUCCUCUCUUGCUGCUCUAGGUGCAUCCUUUCCAAAGCUUUGCAUGGGGUGGAAGAGGACAACCUUCCCUGACACAGGAGGACCGUGCUUCAGCAAGGGUGUCUGAGUAACUGUGUUUCUGCUAGAAUAUUCAAACAGGCUCUCCAGAGCACCAGUGAUUUAGUGUUAGGGCCUGUUACUGGAUCGCAUCAGUCCUCCCUAAAUUACUUUAACUUACAAGUUUAACAUCUUCCUAAUGCUGAGUCUU